CCUAUGUUUUUCCAUUUAUUAGUUACUCCCUACUUUGUUAAAGAAAAAGUAGGGAGUAACUAAUAAAUGGAAUAACAUAGA